CGCUGGCGGCGUGCUUAACACAUGCAAGUCGAACGAAGAUACUUAAAAUGAGAGCUUCGGCAGGAUUUUUAUUUAUCUUAGUGGCGGACGGGUGAGUAACGUGUGGGCAACCUGCCCUAUACUGGGGAAUAAUCACUGGAAACGGUGACUAAUACCGCAUGUCAUUACGGAAGGGCAUCCUUCUGUAAGAAAAGGAGUAAUUCGGUAUAGGAUGGGCCCGCAUCUGAUUAGCUAGUUGGUGAGAUAACAGCCCACCAAGGCGACGAUCAGUAGCCGACCUGAGAGGGUGAUCGGCCACAUUGGGACUGAGACACGGCCCAAACUCCUACGGGAGGCAGCAGUGGGGAAUAUUGCACAAUGGGGGAAACCCUGAUGCAGCAACGCCGCGUGAAGGAAGAAGGUUUUCGGAUCGUAAACUUCUAUCAACAGGGACGAAGAAAGUGACGGUACCUGAAUAAGAAGCCCCGGCUAACUACGUGCCAGCAGCCGCGGUAAUACGUAGGGGGCAAGCGUUAUCCGGAAUUACUGGGUGUAAAGGGAGCGUACGCGGCACGCCAAGCCAGAUGUGAAAGCCCGAGGCUUAACCUCGCGGAUUGCAUUUGGAACUGGCGAGCUAGAGUACAGGAGAGGAAAGCGGAAUUCCUAGUGUAGCGGUGAAAUGCGUAGAUAUUAGGAAGAACACCAGUGGCGAAGGCGGCUUUCUGGACUGAAACUGACGCU
rnacentral:rRNA from 1 species